GUACAGGCAGAAUGCUUCACAGUUCCUGUGUUCCAAGAACAGAGAUGCUCCGCCAGCUCACUCUUCAACCUUGUUCCCAGCAGCUGCCAGUGCUGCAUGCAGAGAGGACACAGGGCUCCAGGGAGGUGGAGGGGCUUGCCUGAGAUCAUAAUGCAAGUUAUUAAUGGGGUUCCUAUCAGGCUCCCCUGGAUUAUUGGGAGGAAACUGGACCCUGAAAGUAGCCCAGGUGAGUGGGAACUCAGAAGGCAUGAGUUCUUGCCUUGAAGUUCAGAAGCUUGAAGCAGCCAUGCAAGAUGUGGCCAGGACGAGCUGCCAGUGCUGCUGGGCUGGUGUGUAGAAGAGGCCCCCUGGCCAGCUCAUCAGUCGUCAUGCCCAGGAGCUCUAGCAUCCAGAGCAAGGUGCUGGCUCCCAGGUGCUCCGAGCUGCGGGAGCUUCAUUCGUAUUAUUGUUUCUAACCUGCUGAUGCAGGCUGCGUGUAAGUACAAGGA
rnacentral:lncRNA from 1 species